AUACAGCACUUCCCUUACUUCUCUCCUGGAGAGUAGAAUUACAUCAUGUGUUUUGAUAAUACUUCAUCAUAAUAGCACCAAAAGCUGUGCUGAACACGUGCAAAGAAACAAGCCCCUGUUAUUUUUAGGAGUGUGCCAAGCAUCCAUGGAUCUUACGCAUUUUAUUCUGGUUUACAAUUCCAGAGAAAGUUUGCUUAGCAUCCCCUGAGCUGUACAUCUUAGUUGCAUUACUGGAUGAUUUUGGAAAUCUUCAUCUUGUCUUUUUAACAUGCCCCGGUCUACUCGUCUGGAAAGAGUCAUUCAGAAUGCAAGGCAGGAUCUCCGACUCCAGAAGUAAUCCCUUGAUGUAGACUUCUAAAUCCUCAUGCAAAUGAAGACUUAAGAAUAGAUCUCAGAGUGAAUAGAGGUCACAGAUGUACCAGAUCUGUCAAGUGCUAAGAAAGCUGGAACACUAUUGUAGUAUCUGUAUACUUUUAAGUUUUACAAAUCUGGAACCAGUGACAUUCUCUUUUUCACAAAGGUAACUGUUUACCACCACAGCCUCGUCUACAUAAUGUCCGUCAAAAGAGAAACUGUUGACAAAUGAACGUUUACACAAGGGGCAGCAUGAA
rnacentral:lncRNA from 1 species